UACGGAGGGUGCGAGCGUUGUCCGGAAUCAUUGGGCGUAAAGGGCGCGUAGGUGGCCCGGUCAGUUCGUGGUGAAAGCGCGGGGCUCAACCCUGCGUCGGCCAUGAAUACUGCCGCGGCUGGAGCACUGUAGAGGCAGGCGGAAUUCCGGGUGUAGCGGUGGAAUGCGUAGAGAUCCGGAAGAACACCGGUGGCGAAGGCGGCCUGCUGGGCAGUUAGCUGACACUGAGGCGCGACAGCGUGGGGAGCAACAGG
rnacentral:rRNA from 1 species